GACACAUCCAGCUGCACAGCCACCCAAAAGGGAAUGGGAUGAGCAGGAGGUGAGGAGGUGGCCCCGUAGUAACCCAGCUCUCUUACCUCCCUCCAGGCUGAGCAUCAGGGCCAGCCCAGGAAAACUUCUUGAGCGUCUUUCUCUCUUCGUUCCAGAGGCAGCCAGGCUGCUUUCCUCCCGUGAGGAGAUGGGAGAAGGAGGACAAGAAUGACAGUUCACUGAAGCUGAAAGAGAAGCGAACAAAAGGUCAACUGUUACUGUCCCAUCUUACAGAAGAGGAAGGUGCAGGGAGGUGCUGUCCAGGGCCCCUCACUGCCAAGGAAUAGCCUGUGUAAUUGGAAAUGUGACUUGGAGGGGAAGAUGGAGGCUGAUCUGGGGACAGAGAACUGCCUGGCCACAGGAAUCAGGAGCCAAGGAGUCCUUGUAGAUUUUCACACAAAAGAGCUCAAUCCACACAGAAGCUCCUUGGCUGUUCAGAAGAGCUCCCACCUCCACUCUCAGCUGUUUUGGCACACAGGAGAGCACUCCCACACCUGCAGGGGCACCGUGUCCCUCCUGGGCUGUCCCUUGGGGCUGAGGGAAGGACAUGCAGGUAGGAAUCCUCUCAGAGUGAAAAAAGACAUGUCUGGAUGUGCUGAGUGCCUUUAAGUGCUGUAACACUGCAGAACCCCAUGGGUGGUGGUGCCAAGUGAGGCUGAGCCC
rnacentral:lncRNA from 1 species